AUUGAACGCUGGCGGCAGGCCUAACACAUGCAAGUCGAGCGGAUGAAGGGAGCUUGCUCCUGGAUUCAGCGGCGGACGGGUGAGUAAUGCCUAGGAAUCUGCCUGGUAGUGGGGGAUAACGUCCGGAAACGGGCGCUAAUACCGCAUACGUCCUGAGGGAGAAAGUGGGGGAUCUUCGGACCUCACGCUAUCAGAUGAGCCUAGGUCGGAUUAGCUAGUUGGUGGGGUAAAGGCCUACCAAGGCGACGAUCCGUAACUGGUCUGAGAGGAUGAUCAGUCACACUGGAACUGAGGCACGGUCCAGACUCCUACGGGAGGCAGAAGUGGGGAAUAUUGGACAAUGGGCGAAAGCCUGAUCCAGCCAUGCCGCGUGUGUGAAGAAGGUCUUCGGAUUGUAAAGCACUUUAAGUUGGGAGGAAGGGCAGUAAGUUAAUACCUUGCUGUUUUGACGUUACCAACAGAAUAAGCACCGGCUAACUUCGU
rnacentral:rRNA from 1 species